UACAAAAACAUGCUUGCUACUUCCCUAUUCGAUUAUAUAAUAAACUAAUUACACAGUUUGGUUGAAAAUCGCGAGACGAAUCUUUUAAGCCUAGUUAGUCUAUGAUUAGCCUUAAGUGUUACAGUAAUCCACAUGUGUUAAUGACAAAUUAAUUAUGCUUAAUAGAUUUGUCUUGCACAGACGAGCUAUGAAAUUUGUUUUUUUAUUAGUUUUUAAAAACUCUUUCCGAUAUCCUUCCGACACAUCCGAUGUGACACCCAAAAAAUUUCCAUCUCCAAUCUAAACAGGGCCUCAAUAAUCCUAGCCUGCAGCAUCAUCAUCUUUUAUUUUAUUUUCGUAACAGAUACACUAGUGCAUAUAUCUAGAAAACUGAAUCGGUUCUACCAAUUACAACAGUUUUUGUACAUUCCCCAUGAAAGUGUUUACCUGCUGCUCUGGUGCACACUGCCGGCCCCGCACCGGCACAUAAAUUGGCCUAAAGAUUUUGUCUAAGCUGAGAUGACCGAAUUUCAGUGAAAAUCACCUAUUUUGGGUGAGGCCUAAAAUAAUAUUAUACCGGUCAAAAAAAUUCAACUAAAUUCAUUAUUUUAGUCAAAUCUAGAGUAAAAUUCAUAUUUUUAAAAUUUACCAAUUGUACAUGGAAUUUCCACUCGAGUCCUCUUCCACACAAGCAAAAAAAAGGGUUCUGCCGUCAUGGAUUACGUGUGCUCAGAAAACUGUCGUCAUGCGUGAGAGAAGACUUUGCCAGUCCGUCGUCACGCAUGACUGCUCACACAAGAAAUAACAUCGUCAUUUCAUAUAGUAGAGCUAUUUGAACCUUCAUUUCAUGUAACUCAAACUUCACUGCUAGCCUACAGACAAGAGAGAAAGACAAGAAAACAUCGUCAUUUCAUGUAGUAGAGCUAUUUGAACUAUCAUGUAGCUCAAACUUCACUAGAUGCCGACACACAAGACAGGAAGCCAAGAAAACAUCGUCAUUUCAUGUAGUAGAGCUAUGUAAACCGUCAUUUCAUGUAACUCAAACUUCACUUGUAGCCUGCAGACAAGAGAGGAAGACAAGAAGACAUCGUCAUUUCAUGUAACUCAAACUUCACUGGUAGCCUGCAGACAAGAGAGGAAGACUUCAUCACUGCUAAAGGUGCAAUUUCACAAAAAGGUAGUAAACAAUGGUGAAGGGACAUGGCAUUGUGACAAAUGCAACAAGAGCUUACCAUAUUGCGAGUUUAGAUACUUUGCUGGCGUGCCAGAUCCAGGACCACAUUAGGUACCUAUGCUACUGCAUUCCAAGAGGCUGGUGUCGAGAUGGUUCGUGAGCCACUAGCAUGAAUGCACCACCUCAGGUCGGUCGCAACUGGGCAUGAAUGCAACUUAAAUACAUGUUGUUUCAAUAGCGAGAGUUGGUGAGCCACUCACAAGCUCACGUCAACACCAUAACUCCCUAUUCUAACCAUCAAAGAUUGUUUCUCAUCCAAAUUAUCAUCAUGAGCGGGCUAUAAACAAUUUAACUUAAGACUAGAACAUAAGAUUAGAUCAGAAUUACAAGUUGAAAUAAUAAUUAAAGUCAAAGGAACACUAAUUAACUAAUAAAUAAGGAAAAAAAUUUAUAGUUCGCCGUGAGCUAUUUAAAGGGCACACGGCGAAGACCGUCUUUGCCGUGUGCCCCAGACUAGCACACGGCAAAGAUCCAAGGUUUGUCGUGUGCUUCCAGUUGGCACACGGCAAAGAGUUGAUGGCAGCCAACGGUGGCCGACGGCGUCAGAAUUUUGCCGUCAGCCCCGUGCUAGCACACGACAAAGAGUGCAUUCACCGUGUGUUUUAUUUUCGCCGUGUGUUUUUCCUCGGCACACGGCAAAUGUAUUGACUUCACCGUGUGCUCUUCUGUUCAGCACACGGCGAAGGACGUAAACGCCGAGUGCUAAACGUUUGCCGUGUGCUGGGCUGGGUGGCACACGACAAAUCAGCUCUUUGCCGUGUGCUCGAUGUAUUGCACACGGCAAAGCUACGGGCACACGGCAACCUCCGGUUUUCCGGUAGUGCGCAUGACUGCUCACACAAGAAAUAACUUUGGCACCCUACUGCUGAUGUCCAUCCCGAGUAUAAAACUGUACGAGGAGGAGC
rnacentral:lncRNA from 1 species